UGCAGUCGAACGGAAAGGUCUCUUCGGAGAUACUCGAGUGGCGAACGGGUGAGUAACACGUGGGUGAUCUGCCCUGCACUUCGGGAUAAGCCUGGGAAACUGGGUCUAAUACCGGAUAGGACCACGGGAUGCAUGUCUUGUGGUGGAAAGCGCUUUAGCGGUGUGGGAUGAGCCCGCGGCCUAUCAGCUUGUUGGUGGGGUGACGGCCUACCAAGGCGACGACGGGUAGCCGGCCUGAGAGGGUGUCCGGCCACACUGGGACUGAGAUACGGCCCAGACUCCUACGGGAGGCAGCAGUGGGGAAUAUUGCACAAUGGGCGCAAGCCUGAUGCAGCGACGCCGCGUGGGGGAUGACGGCCUUCGGGUUGUAAACCUCUUUCACCAUCGACGAAGGUCCGGGUUCUCUCGGAUUGACGGUAGGUGGAGAAGAAGCACCGGCCAACUACGUGCCAGCAGCCGCGGUAAUACGUAGGGUGCGAGCGUUGUCCGGAAUUACUGGGCGUAAAGAGCUCGUAGGUGGUUUGUCGCGUUGUUCGUGAAAUCUCACGGCUUAACUGUGAGCGUGCGGGCGAUACGGGCAGACUAGAGUACUGCAGGGGAGACUGGAAUUCCUGGUGUAGCGGUGGAAUGCGCAGAUAUCAGGAGGAACACCGGUGGCGAAGGCGGGUCUCUGGGCAGUAACUGACGCUGAGGAGCGAAAGCGUGGGGAGCGAACAGGAUUAGAUACCCUGGUAGUCCACGCCGUAAACGGUGGGUACUAGGUGUGGGUUUCCUUCCUUGGGAUCCGUGCCGUAUCUAACGCAUUAAGUACCCCGCCUGGGGAGUACAGCCGCAAGGCUAAAACUCAAAGGAAUUGACGGGGGCCCGCACAAGCGGGCGGAGCAUGUGGAUUAGUUUUAUGCACCGUAAAUAACCAUAACCUGGGUUUGACCUUCAAAAUGACGCCGUCUUGAGAUAGGAGUUUCGCUUGUGGCCUCUGUCCAGGACGUGCA
rnacentral:rRNA from 1 species